GACGAACGCUGGCGGCGUGCCUAAUACAUGCAAGUAGAACGCUGAAGAGAGGAGCUUGCUCUUCUUGGAUGAGUUGCGAACGGGUGAGUAACGCGUAGGUAACCUGCCUUGUAGCGGGGGAUAACUAUUGGAAACGAUAGCUAAUACCGCAUAACAAUGGAUGACACAUGUCAUUUAUUUGAAAGGGGCAAUUGCUCCACUACAAGAUGGACCUGCGUUGUAUUAGCUAGUAGGUGAGGUAAUGGCUCACCUAGGCGACGAUACAUAGCCGACCUGAGAGGGUGAUCGGCCACACUGGGACUGAGACACGGCCCAGACUCCUACGGGAGGCAGCAGUAGGGAAUCUUCGGCAAUGGGGGCAACCCUGACCGAGCAACGCCGCGUGAGUGAAGAAGGUUUUCGGAUCGUAAAGCUCUGUUGUAAGUCAAGAACGGGUGUGAGAGUGGAAAGUUCACACUGUGACGGUAGCUUACCAGAAAGGGACGGCUAACUACGUGCCAGCAGCCGCGGUAAUACGUAGGUCCCGAGCGUUGUCCGGAUUUAUCGGGCGUAAAGCGAGCGCAGGCGGUUUGAUAAGUCUGAAGUUAAAGGCUGUGGCUCAACCAUAGUUCGCUUUGGAAACUGUCAAACUUGAGUGCAGAAGGGGAGAGUGGAAUUCCAUGUGUAGCGGUGAAAUGCGUAGAUAUAUGGAGGAACACCGGUGGCGAAAGCGGCUCUCUGGUCUGUAACUGACGCUGAGGCUCGAAAGCGUGGGGAGCGAACAGGAUUAGAUACCCUGGUAGUCCACGCCGUAAACGAUGAGUGCUAGGUGUUGGAUCCUUUCCGGGAUUCAGUGCCGCAGCUAACGCAUUAAGCACUCCGCCUGGGGAGUACGACCGCAAGGUUGAAACUCAAAGGAAUUGACGGGGGCCCGCACAAGCGGUGGAGCAUGUGGUUUAAUUCGAAGCAACGCGAAGAACCUUACCAGGUCUUGACAUCCCGAUGCUAUUUCUAGAGAUAGAAAGUUACUUCGGUACAUCGGUGACAGGUGGUGCAUGGUUGUCGUCAGCUCGUGUCGUGAGAUGUUGGGUUAAGUCCCGCAACGAGCGCAACCCCUAUUGUUAGUUGCCAUCAUUCAGUUGGGCACUCUAGCGAGACUGCCGGUAAUAAACCGGAGGAAGGUGGGGAUGACGUCAAAUCAUCAUGCCCCUUAUGACCUGGGCUACACACGUGCUACAAUGGUUGGUACAACGAGUUGCGAGUCGGUGACGGCGAGCUAAUCUCUUAAAGCCAAUCUCAGUUCGGAUUGUAGGCUGCAACUCGCCUACAUGAAGUCGGAAUCGCUAGUAAUCGCGGAUCAGCACGCCGCGGUGAAUACGUUCCCGGGCCU
rnacentral:rRNA from 1 species